rnacentral:rRNA from 1 species
GAUGAACGCUAGCGGCAGGCCUAAUACAUGCAAGUCAAGGGGCCAGCAAUACCAACCGGCGAACGGGUGCGUAACACGUAAGCGACCUGCCCUGGAGUGGGGGAUAGCCGGCCCAACGGCCGGGUAAUACCGCAUACGACGAUCGGGGGGCAUUCUUUGAUCGUGAAACCUGCGGGGCUCUGGGAGGGGCUUGCGGCCUAUCAGCUAGUUGGCGGGGUAAUGGCCCACCAAGGCGACGAUCGCUAGCUGGUCUGAGAGGAUGAUCAGCCACACUGGAACUGAGACACGGUCCAGACUCCUACGGGAGGCAGCAGUAAGGAAUAUUGGUCAAUGGACGAAAGUCUGAACCAGCCAUGCCGCGUGAAGGAUGAAGGCCCUCUGGGUUGUAAACUUCUUUUAUAGGGGACGAAAAAGGGAAUUACUUUCCCACUUGACGGUACCCUAGGAAUAAGCACCGGCUAACUCCGUGCCAGCAGCCG